rnacentral:misc_RNA from 1 species
CCUGGCCUUGGGCCGCUUGGGGGAGCUAGUUGCUUGCGACGACGCUGCCCUGGACGCUUAGCCCUCGACUAUCACCUUGACUACGUGCACCUUUUGUUGUUUCCUCGGCAGGUCCUCUGCCGCCAGGAAGCCCAUAAACCUUUUUGCAACAGCAUCUAAACUUCUGAAAGCAAACCAAAUCAUUUA